AAAUAAUGUUGAGCAUCGGUGUUUGGUUGUUUGGAACUGGCUAUGAUACAUUGUGGCUGUUUUUUCGGUCAUUAUGCAAUUUCAUUGUGUCUCUAGUCCCAAUGGCACGGUUUUUAGUCCAAUUAAACUAAAUGAAGAGAGAAACUUUAUUCUGAGUAUCACAAUUUUUGAUGAGGGUUUCGUCUCCUUGAUAAUGGUGUCAAUUUAUCUAAUAGGUCUGGUGAUAUGUUGGGAUGACUAUUUAACAAUACAAUGUAUAGUGGGAUCAGGCGACUGAUUUUUCGUGUCCAGUUCUCUGUUGUUUUUCUGACCUGUCUCUUUGGACUUCUUUCCACCAACCGACGACAACUCUUUCUUCUCGAACGUUUGUCUAAUACUUCUAUCUCCAGGAAGGGAAGGAAAUAAAUGUUUUCUCCAUCUUCUCCCUGGUUACAUUCCAUACUUCUCACCUUUAUGCCACCUGCAUAUCAUCCAACCCUCUCCCAUCAGUGUAAUUUUUUGCGUGUUUAUUUGUCUUACUUCUAUUGUGGAAGACAGAGACUUUAUAGUUCCAUUGAAGAAGAUACUAUCUUUUUAUAUGUAAGACAGGACUACUUACGGAAUGAUCCUGUUAAGGGUGCACAAUAAAUCACUGUUUGUCACAGUGCUAGAGCUGUUUUAAGCCUCUUUCCUG
rnacentral:lncRNA from 1 species